AGACAUAUUAAUACAUAAUACAAUAAUGUGAAGCAUUUGGUAAAAUUAAGUGUUCACAAGAGUGAAGCAUUAAUAUUUUUAAGCAGGAAGGUUCAACUGUGUCUGAAGAGCAGUCUGAGAGGUUAACUAGGCCAUAGUGAGGUAAGAUAGGUGUGUAUCGAGCGUAAAGAACCAUAUUUCCUAUAAGUGGGGGAUCAGGCCGUAUGCUUCAAUACCCCUAACCAAAGGGGGCUACGGGAGGGGGAUGGUAGGGGUGGGGGGUGCAGAGAGGGUGAAGGUGUGGAGCUAAACACCCGCUAAGACAAGCUAGGCCCUUAUCAUCAGUGCUCCGUAGGGUAAGGAGUCAGGUAUCGUAAAACCUCUUAUGAGGUUACUGCUGUUAUAGGUAGCUUGUAACAUGGAGAACAUAACAGUGGACAUAACAAUGAGCUGAAAUGGCUAGCUAAGUAUAAGAACCCGAACUGUGUUUAAGUACUGUCUUCCCUAGCAAGUUCAAGUCCCAGGUGUUAGGGUCAAUUUAUUAGCAGGGACAAAGGGGACAAUACGAGAUGGAUCCCAGGGAUGAGUGCUCUGCUGUCCACCAGGGUCAGAUGGAGGCACCGGUAGGCCUAAGGCUUAAACAAGGGCCUGUGAUUUGGCUAGUGUGGAUGCCUUGUGUACUGUUUCGCCAUGCGUGACCACGAGGAUCCUUGGUGACAUCCACCGGUAUUCUAUUCCAGCUGCUCUCUGUUGGCUAAUAACAGAGUCCGUCGCCAAUAGCAGAAUGGACCAAGUGAAGUUCUGGUAGAAUGUGAGGGUGUAAUGUUCGAAAGGGAAUAGUGUCUUGCCCUUCAGUGCUGCCAUUGGGAUUCUUUUGUCCUGGGAUAGCGAACAGUGAACAAUGACAUCUCGCACCGCAGAGGCCAGUGCCCCUCCUGAUUCAAU